GUGAAGUCACAUUCACCACGUAUAGACAAGGCAAUUGAUCCAGAUAGCUUUGAAGAAGAACUAGCACAGCCAUUUCUAGGAUUCAUAUAAACAGCUGGUAGUUUGAGAUCAUCUUCAGCCUGUGAAGGCACCAAAGUCCCAAACCUUGCACUUAGACCAACAAAGGUUUCAUCUUCAGCAUCAUUAACCCAGCUCUUAACUUUGACCAAUUCGAAGGGAUUGUUGCAAUUUCCGGACUUGGGAGCGGAAUCGUCAUCGAGCGAGACAUCGUCGGCAAAGACAGAGGAGAUGCCGAAGAGAAAAACGAGAAAAAGGAGUGAGAAGAGAGGGAUGAUUGGACGUCUUGCCGGAGAAGAAGAGAACGCCAUGUGAGCCCCCGGAUUCCCUCAGAUUCAGAUGGACGAAAUGGAUGAAUGGAUGGGAGGGGAGGAGGG
rnacentral:misc_RNA from 1 species